CAUCAAGAACUCCAAGAUCUUCAAGUCAAAACCAGUCAAAGUUCAGCGUUCGAUCCGAGAUUCAAGUCGCAAGACCCUCGGAAGACGUUAUUCAAAUCCAAAUCAAAUCCGGAGAAGAUCAAGUCAACGACCCGACUCCGAAAUUCAAAGUCAAACGCAUAUUAUUCUUGAGAGAAGAAUCAGAGGAUUAAAUUAGAGUUUGUAACCCGCAAU
rnacentral:lncRNA from 1 species